GCUGGCGGCAGGCCUAACACAUGCAAGUCGAGCGGAUGAAGGGAGCUUGCUCCUGGAUUCAGCGGCGGACGGGAGAGUAAUGCCUAGGAAUCUGCCUGGUAGUGGGGGAUAACGUCCGGAAACGGGCGCUAAUACCGCAUACGUCCUGAGGGAGAAAGUGGGGGAUCUUCGGACCUCACGCUAUCAGAUGAGCCUAGGUCGGAUUAGCUAGUUGGUGGGGUAAAGGCCUACCAAGGCGACGAUCCGUAACUGGUCUGAGAGGAUGAUCAGUCACACUGGAACUGAGACACGGUCCAGACUCCUACGGGAGGCAGCAGUGGGGAAUAUUGGACAAUGGGCGAAAGCCUGAUCCAGCCAUGCCGCGUGUGUGAAGAAGGUCUUCGGAUUGUAAAGCACUUUAAGUUGGGAGGAAGGGCAGUAAGUUAAUACCUUGCUGUUUUGACGUUACCAACAGAAUAAGCACCGGCUAACUUCGUGCCAGCAGCCGCGGUAAUACGAAGGGUGCAAGCGUUAAUCGGAAUUACUGGGCGUAAAGCGCGCGUAGGUGGUUCAGCAAGUUGGAUGUGAAAUCCCCGGGCUCAACCUGGGAACUGCAUCCAAAACUACUGAGCUAGAGUACGGUAGAGGGUGGUGGAAUUUCCUGUGUAGCGGUGAAAUGCGUAGAUAUAGGAAGGAACACCAGUGGCGAAGGCGACCACCUGGACUGAUACUGACACUGAGGUGCGAAAGCGUGGGGAGCAAACAAGAUUAGAUACCCUGGUAGUCCACGCCGUAAACGAUGUCGACUAGCCGUUGGGAUCCUUGAGAUCUUAGUGGCGCAGCUAACGCGAUAAGUCGACCGCCUGGGGAGUACGGCCGCAAGGUUAAAACUCAAAUGAAUUGACGGGGGCCCGCACAAGCGGUGGAGCAUGUGGUUUAAUUCGAAGCAACGCGAAGAACCUUACCUGGCCUUGACAUGCUGAGAACUUUCCAGAGAUGGAUUGGUGCCUUCGGGAACUCAGACACAGGUGCUGCAUGGCUGUCGUCAGCUCGUGUCGUGAGAUGUUGGGUUAAGUCCCGUAACGAGCGCAACCCUUGUCCUUAGUUACCAGCACCUCGGGUGGGCACUCUAAGGAGACUGCCGGUGACAAACCGGAGGAAGGUGGGGAUGACGUCAAGUCAUCAUGGCCCUUACGGCCAGGGCUACACACGUGCUACAAUGGUCGGUACAAAGGGUUGCCAAGCCGCGAGGUGGAGCUAAUCCCAUAAAACCGAUCGUAGUCCGGAUCGCAGUCUGCAACUCGACUGCGUGAAGUCGGAAUCGCUAGUAAUCGUGAAUCAGAAUGUCACGGUGAAUACGUUCCCGGGCCUUGUACACACCGCCCGUCACACCAUGGGAGUGGGUUGCUCCAGAAGUAGCUAGUCUAACCGCAAGGGGGACGGUUACCACGGAGUGAUU
rnacentral:rRNA from 1 species